UACGUAGGGCGCAAGCGUUGUCCGGAUUUAUUGGGCGUAAAGAGCGUGUAGGCGGCCUGAAAGGUCAGCUGUGAAAACUCGAGGCUCAACCUCGAGACGUCGGUUGAAACCAUCUGGCUAGAGUCCGGAAGAGGAGAGUGGAAUUCCCGGUGUAGCGGUGAAAUGCGCAGAUAUCGGGAAGAACACCCGUGGCGAAGGCGGCUCUCUGGGACGGUACUGACGCUGAGACGCGAAAGCGUGGGGAGCGAACAGG
rnacentral:rRNA from 1 species